UCCCUGAUUUUGAGCUCCCAUCACAAAUCCAAACUCUAGAGAUCACUGGGUGGCCUAAGCUCAAGUCUCUGCCUCAACAACAAAUUCAACACUGCACUUGUCUAAAAGCAUUGUCCAUAGAGUCUUUCCACAGCGUGGAGGCUCUUCCAGAGUGGUUGUGUAACCUUACAUCUCUUACCACCCUGAGUAUUCACAACUGUAAGAAUCUGGUGUCUCUUCCUGCCGUUGAAGUUAUGCAACGCCUCACCAAAUUGCAAAAGCUAGUGAUUGCUGCAUGUCCCCGUCUAGGGGGAAGAUCCACCCUUGAGAGCGGCCCAGAAUGGCACAAGAUUUCUCACAUCCCACAUAUAAUUGUUUACGGAUGCGAAAGAUCGGAAUCUUUUAGUGAUGAUGAUUCGACCCCUUCACAAACUAGCUAGCACAGUUGGAGCACAAAAAGGAUCUUAUGCAAUUGGAAGAACAAAUAAUGCGCAUUAGGUGCAAACUUAGUCCAGAGGGGAUGGGGAUGCAUUUGCUAUAGAUCCUUGCGUGAGGUAGGUGAAGGUGUCCAUCAGAUGGAUUUGUGAAGCUGAUCAACGACGAUGUGUCAUGGCAAGCACAAACUGAUAAGGAUGAAAUAUGGUGGUUUGCAGGAAUCAUGAGAUAAUAUUGAUACAGACCAUUAUGUGUUGGCUGCCAGUGGUAGUAAUCUUGUAUGAGCUAGUUCUUUGCUUGUUAUGGCUGAAGAUCACAGGGUAGCCAAAGCUCAAGUCUCUACCUCAACAACAAAUUCAACACUGCACUUGUCUACAAGAUUUGUAUAUACAGGAUUUCGACAGCAUGGAGGCUCUUCUGGAGUGGUUGGGGUAACCUUACAUCUCUUACCCAUCUGAGGAUUAAGGCGUGUGAGAAUCUGGUGUAUCUUCCUGCCGUUGAGGUUAUGCAAUGCCUCACCAAACUUGUUACAUGUCCCGGUCUAGGGGGAAGAUCCGCCCUCCUGAGCGGCCCAGAAUGGCACAAGACUUCUCACAUCCCAUGUAUAUCAGUAAGUUGACCCACUCCCACUUCGAAGAUGUAACCCAACCUAUUACGAGCAUUCUUCUUCAAGUGGUGAUGAUUCUGAGAGUGAGCCUACUCUUCUUCUCUAAUUGAAUUUGGCACAAUUUGUUGGAUUUCACUUCCGGAAUAGGUGCAAACUUAGUCCAGGUACUUCACUUCAGUUCCCUUUCCCCUGCAUCGUUAUUUACUCAUU